AUGGGAAAGAAACCUGGAAAGGUAGGGAGGUAUGGAUAUGGACAAGCUAUGCCAAGGAGCAGGGCUUUGUCAUGGAGAGUGACUAGGUGCUUUUACAUAGGAAAGUCACCUGAUAAUAUUAAAACCUGUGAAAUAUCACUCUGGUGGAAGUGUGAAUGAAUUUGAAAGGGGUGUAACACUGUUCUACUUUGUUUACUCCUCAGUACCCUUGGCUGUGUACAUUUGAGUAAAGAGAGCACUAUAAAAUCAAAAACCAAUGAAAUGGUUUCCAGAACACAGAACUAUUAAGCUUAAGAAAAGGACAGAAGGAACUGAAGAGAGAGGAACUGUUUUGGAGCAUCACACUUCCACCUCAGAAGAAAUAAGGAAGGAAGGAGGAGGGUGUUCCCACGGCUCUUCAACCAGGCGGGCUCUUCAGCCUACAUCCCCAUCUCAUCAAGUAAAAGGGAUUUUUCAACUGGACCAACCAGAUGGUUUAACAGUGCACUCCCACACCAUUCAACUACGCAAGGGAGAUACACUUAACAUAUGCAGUCGUAUAACACCUACUAACAUUUUCAAACAUUAAACCUUUAAAAAAGAGUUCUAAAGAAAUAGAAGCUUGAAGUAUCAUCUCUCAAGUAUAUAGACACUACUUCAUGGUGUGGUAAUAUAUGCAUAUAGAAGCUAGUAAACACCUCCAGGAGAUGCAAAAGGAAUUAGAACUGCCACAAGGUGCAAGCAAAACCUUGAGGUAAUCAAUCUGCAUCCCAUUUUGGAUGAGAAUAUUUGCAACUUUGAAGGUUAUUUUAAGGACAGCAGCAGAAGAAUUAUGGCAGCUUCUUUAAAAUAUGAAGACUUCAAAGUUAUUUAUCCAAACCAACCUGAUCAUUUCUUAAGAGUGAAUAUACCUUGGAAGAUGUGUCCUGCCUUUAGUAGCGUCACAAUGGAUUACAUCCUCUAUAAAGCAGUCUGGGAGGCUAACAUCUGCCACAAGACAAAUAUGGUGCCUGCCCCCAUGGAGCUCAUAUUCGAAUGGAGAAAAUGUCAACAAGUAUCCCACGGAGUGAACACUUCAAAAGGAGAAGCACAGGUGAGAAAAUCGAAUUUGGACACCGUUGAGGAGACUAUUGCAGUCAUCCAAGCUCAAGAUGGUGGAGCUUCAUCCUUGAGAAUAACCAAUGGGGAUAGAUUUAAGAGACACUUAGAGUCUGCAGCCAACAGGGCUGAAUGAGCAGAGAGUUAUGAUUCAGAAGAUCAUCUAAAAUUGAACAGCUGCCACUACUGGCAAUAAGUCUACUGCCAUUUGGUAGAUAACCUUCUUAUCACACAGAAAAAUAUCAGUACAGACAAAUAGACUGCAAAGAAAAUGAGACCAUCAGCAAAGAAGAUAAAGAAGUUUGUACAAAGCAACUUUUUAUAAAUGGAUGGCUGUCAGGCAAAAAUAAAUUUCCUGUGGACAAGACCAAGAGCAAGGCAAGAGGAAAAUAAACAUGUUUAAAC
rnacentral:sRNA from 1 species